GACGAACGCUGGCGGCGUGCCUAAUACAUGCAAGUUGAGCGCUGAAGGUUGGUACUUGUACCAACUGGAUGAGCAGCGAACGGGUGAGUAACGCGUGGGGAAUCUGCCUUUGAGCGGGGGACAACAUUUGGAAACGAAUGCUAAUACCGCAUAAAAACUUUAAACACAAGUUUUAAGUUUGAAAGAUGCAAUUGCAUCACUCAAAGAUGAUCCCGCGUUGUAUUAGCUAGUUGGUGAGGUAAAGGCUCACCAAGGCGAUGAUACGUAGCCGACCUGAGAGGGUGAUCGGCCACAUUGGGACUGAGACACGGCCCAAACUCCUACGGGAGGUAGCAGUAGGGAAUCUUCGGCAAUGGACGAAAGUCUGACCGAGCAACGCCGCGUGAGUGAAGAAGGUUUUCGGAUCGUAAAACUCUGUUGGUAGAGAAGAACGUUGGUGAGAGUGGAAAGCUCAUCAAGUGACGGUAACUACCCAGAAAGGGACGGCUAACUACGUG
rnacentral:rRNA from 1 species